GGCAAGAUGGCCGAGCGGUCUAUGGCGUGUGACUCAAGCUGAGACUUUUCUGCGUUGCAGAAUCACCUCACACGUUUCUCAUCCUCGCAAGAGGGCAGGGGUUCGAAUCCCCUUCUUGUCA